UACGUAGGUGGCAAGCGUUGUCCGGAUUCACUGGGUGUAAAGGGCGUGUAGCCGGGUUGACAAGUCAGAUGUGAAAUCCUGCGGCUUAACCGCAGAACUGCAUUUGAAACUGUUGAUCUUGAGUACUGGAGAGGCAGACGGAAUUCCUAGUGUAGCGGUGAAAUGCGUAGAUAUUAGGAGGAACACCAGUGGCGAAGGCGGUCUGCUGGACAGCAACUGACGGUGAGGCGCGAAAGCGUGGGGAGCAAACAGG
rnacentral:rRNA from 1 species